GACGGAAGGUGCAAGCGUUGCUCGGAAUCACUGGGCGUAAAGGGUGCGUAGGCGGCUUGGUAAGUUGGGUGUGAAAGCCCCGGGCUCAGCCCGGGAAGGGCACUCGAAACUGCCGAGCUGGAGUGCCGGAGGGGAGAGUGGAAUUCCUGGUGUAGCGGUGAAAUGCGUAGAUAUCAGGAGGAAUACCGGUGGCGAAAGCGACUCUCUGGACGGCAACUGACGCUGAGGAGCGAAAGCGUGGGGAGCGAUCAGG
rnacentral:rRNA from 1 species